UACGUAGGGGGCGAGCGUUGUCCGGAAUCAUUGGGCGUAAAGCGCGUGUAGGCGGUCCGGUAAGUCCGCUGUGAAAGUCGGGGGCUCAACCCUCGGAUGCCGGUGGAUACUGUCGGGCUUGAGUACGGAAGAGGCGAGUGGAAUUCCUGGUGUAGCGGUGAAAUGCGCAGAUAUCUGGAGGAACACCGGUGGCGAAGGCGGCAUCCUGGACCGGCAUUGACGCUGAGGCGCGAAAGCUAGGGGAGCAAACGGG
rnacentral:rRNA from 1 species